rnacentral:rRNA from 1 species
CAGCAGCCGCGGUAAUACAGAGGGUGCGAGCGUUAAUCGGAUUUACUGGGCGUAAAGCGUGCGUAGGCGGCUUUUUAAGUCGGAUGUGAAAUCCCUGAGAUUAACUUAGGAAUUGCAUUCGAUACUGGGAAGCUAGAGUAUGGGAGAGGAUGGUAGAAUUCCAGGUGUAGCGGUGAAAUGCGUAGAGAUCUGGAGGAAUACCGAUGGCGAAGGCAGCCAUCUGGCCUAAUACUGACGCUGAGGUACGAAAGCAUGGGGAGCAAACAGGAUUAGAUACCCCCGUAGUCCCUGUCUCUUAUAC